rnacentral:lncRNA from 1 species
ACCCUACUCUAAUAAGGUUUUGAUUUCUGGAGCUCAUAGGUGGGAGACAGCUAAUACAUACUUACAAGACAUUUAUUGCAUAGUCAAACCAUGGAUCCAGAAGAACAAGUCAAUAAGUCAAAUCAAGAUGUGCAUGUGUGGCGAAUGAAUGGUGAUAAUGGUGAUGAUGGUGCUAACAAUGGUGAAAGUCUAAUUCUACUUGUGCUCUUUUGAUGGGAUACAUACCUUUCUUGCUCUUUCGAAACUUUUUGAGGUGAAUGAGAUGCUCUAUAUUUUCUUUUUCUUUUCUCUCAGGUGGGUAUCUUGUACCCCUAAUUCUGUUGUUGGACACUUGUCCAUUUUUACCUCUCGUCUCACUUUUUCUUUUCUUUUGAGGUUCCGGGCACUUGCCCCUUUUUAUUUCCUCGUAUUUUUUAGAGCACUCAUCUCUUGAAAUAAUAUAGCAAGUGGUAGUUACCAAGAUAACUUGAGCAUUUAUUUCACAGGGAAAAACAGGAAUAGGAGAAUAUUUUUGGCUAUUCUCUCCUGGAUUAGGAGUAGAAUAAUUUUGGGUGAAUCUGGAUAUGGAAAUGAGUGGAUGUAUGUGGAUGCAUACUUCCAGAGUAGAAGCAACAUGUAUGAGUGAACAUGCAAGUGAAUCUUGAUUUAACCACAUGACAAGCUCCUAAGGGUCUACACAGCUUGACCACACUCAAUGCUCAUAAGUAGUAAAGUAAAUGUGUGGUUCAUAGCCUAAUAAGCAUGUAUAUAUGGCUGUGGUAGGAAUUUAAACUCUCAUCAUACAGGAACUCAUCAUGCAAUAUUUUAAAGAUUUUCAAAGAUAAAAUUCUCCAGAAUUCUAGCAUCUCUAAGAACAGAUAAACAACAGCUCAACCUUCCCAUAUCGUAUCUGUUAACGACUUAGACUUUAGAUCAAGUACUCUCCCCACAAGUUCAGGUUUAGAGCAAAUCUUAAUUAAUAACAAUCAUUCCUAAACUUGAGAGAGAUUUCAAUUUUGAGAACUAGUCAUGGCAGAGCAACUAUUCAUCAUUUCCAUGUGAGAGCUUAUCAAGUUCAGGUUCAUAGCAAACUUUGUUUAUUUAUUUAUUUAGGAAACUAAGCAAAGAUAUAUAUAAGCACAAAAUCUUUAUUUGGGUUUUUAUGAUUAUGCAUCUUUUUAUUAUUUGAGUAAAAUAUAAACGUGAGUAGAACACUUAGGUGGAUAAAUGGGGGUGCUCUCCCCCAAGCUGGAUUUUGCCGUAAUUUCUUUUGAUGUAGCUAGCAGCUGGCGGAGGUGUAUUUGAAUGUCGGUAGCACUCUAUCAGCGAUUAGGAUGUCCUCCGUCUGCUAGUCUUCUUUGAUCCUAUAAUUCUGUGGAGCUCAAAUAGACAACAAAGCUUUGUGGAACUGGUUAAGUGUUAGCAUAAAUAUCUAGCCUUUAUCAUGUUGAGCCUCCUCAAUAAAUGUUACUCUUUUUAGUAGAAUCAUAAAUUUAUUUUUAUAAUUUUAUUUUUAUAGGACAGAAAUAUAUUUAUUUCAUUUUUACGCCACCACAGUGAAUGUACUAAUGGGUUUUAUGCCAUGAGCAUACUCACAUGGGGCUUACUAUUUUUACAUUUAUUAUUUUUUUUCAAGAUGAUAUGAACCUGAUUAACUAAGCAAACUAUUUUAAAUAAUUGAAAGGAAAAAGAUAACUACGAAGUUUACCUCUUGGCAAGGCGUUUGGUGUUUUUAAGUCCUCCAAACGGGACUCUCCGUUUUCUCAAUCGUCAUGGGAUUCGCUGGAUGGCGUAGUCGGUGGUUCCGGCGGCGCGUACUCUUCAUGUAUAACUAUCUUCUUUCUCCACACCUGCCUCGGUGCACUUCUCCUUCGUACUCUGCCCAUCCAUCCUUGAUGAUUUUCCUCCUCUGGUUACGGUUGCAUCGUCUUCUUCUUGUCCUGACCUGCUUAGAGUCUUUAACUAUAUAGUUAGGGUCACUAAAAUAGCGGCGUACCUUCUCAGAGGGGAAAUGCAUGUGGACUUCUCCGGUUCCAAUGUAGAUAAUUAUUUUAACGGUGCUGAGGAACUGUCUCCCAAGGAUGAUGGGUGGAUCGUACUCGUCUUCUCCCAUGUCAAUAACCUUAAAAUUAUCUGGAGCUGAAUGUAUGUCGGUUUUAGGGGCAUGGUUCCGAACAGGAGCUGAUAAGUGACUACGGCCAUUAUGUUGACGCCAGAUCCGGUGUCACAAAGCGUCUUGUAGAAGUUGUACCCAUUGAUGGAGCAAUGAAUGCUUGGCAUUCCUGGGUUGUCCUUCUUGGUCAGAAUCGGUGACUUAAGUCGACGAUCUUGACCUCCUUGAACUACAGUGACCAUCUUAGCUGACUUGGUCCACAUUUGCUUGUUCCUGUCCCUCCUGUUGGUCCUCUUCCUUGGUUCAUGUCGGGAUUGCUCUGAGAUUUGUGUAGUCUUGUUCUUGAAGGAAAAAGUCACCUUCUUCCCCUUGAUGUAGAAACUGAUCUCGGCCGCACUAGCGUAGAUGACAGCUCCCGAGGUGUUUAGGAAUGGCCUCCCUAGGAUGAUGGGUGCCCUCUCAUCAGUAUCAGUCUCUAUCACCACGAAGGCUGCUGGAGCGUAUAAGGUACCAACCUUUGACGUAGAGGUUCUUCAAUAUUCCCUUUGGGAAACAUAAUGUCCGAUCUGUAAGCUGCAAACACAUGGUUGUUUCUCGUAAAGGAUGUGUAAAGAGUUUUUCAUAGAGUACCCUGGGCAUAAUGUUGACACUGGAGCCAAAGUCGCAGAGUGCUUCUAGGAAGUCCACCAUGUCGAUGGAGAUCGGGAUGACGGGGCAUCCUGGGUUGUCUCUCUUGACCGACAGAAGGUUAGUAAUUACUUCCACAUCGGGGUUACUCUAGUAGUUACGUCCUCAAGCAUCUCAGGGCAGUGAUUGCCUGAGUGUCCAGUAUCUCCAGUGUGUUUGUGCUCGUAGAUCUAGGUUCUUCACUUGUUGGAGUCUGGGAGUUGUAAAACUCCUUCAUAUGCUGCUCGAAGUGUACCUGCUCAUAGAGACAAGGCAGAGAUCAAGUGCAUGGGCUCUGUUGGUGGAAAACACCAACAGAACCAAAAGUGUAUUUGUUCUCUCAAACCUUAAGCAUAGUGAGCAAGACAAAGUUGAUGGAUAAUAAGAUCAUGAGUGUAGCAUUUAAAACAUUUGUCAGAUCAAAUCGCUCAACCUAAUGGAAAGAUAAUCUAUAUAUGUUGUUUUUUUAUAAAAUAUAUAUUCCAAAGAUUAAGUGUGCAACAUUUUAGCUCAUAUGAUUAGGAGUGUGGGAUCACAAAGGUGAAAGGACUAAACAUAUUAAAUCGAUUGGGUUGGUUAAUCUAAAGUUGUAAAUCAUACAUGUUUGUCUCUUUUAUUCAUGUGAACGCCAGAAAUAAGGAGAAACUUAUAAAAGUGAUAGUCAAAUACCUUAAGAUAUUACCUUACUUGAAGAGUGAUGGUACAAUAUCACCUUGUGGAAGCUUUCCUUUCUUAGCGGUUGUGAAUCGUGUUUGUGGCACCCUUCAUGGAUCAUCUCUUGUGAGCUAUGCCUUCCUUGUGUAAAUUGUUAAACUUCAUCUGUCUCUCUCUUUGUCUUCAAUGUGAGUUUAUCUCAGGACUUGUGGUUGUCAUUCAUCCGAUCUUCUUGCUCCAAUCUUGGAAAGGUUAGUGACAAGAAUACCCGAAGGAAUUUUUUUACAAUUAUCCUUAUAUGCUCAAUACACAAGGUAAUGUUGUAAAUAAUUAAAAGCUCAUGUUAGUGCUUGUUUUAGGACACUAAGCUUGUCCUUGGGAAACCAUCAAUUUAUGUCGGCGAAGUGGUUUCCCCUCCAACGCUGACCUAUAUCAAGAUCAACUCAACGAGAUCUGCAAUAUUUAAUAUAGACAUUUGCAUCGACAACCGCCCUUUUAAAGUUUUUAUAAAUAGAAAGGAUGAGGGGGUUGGAGAUCUCGAAUGUGGUGAUGUUGGAGAGACAAAUGGAUUGUGAAGAUGUUGCAUAUGAGCAUGGAGUAAAUGAAGUGGCUAUGAAACAAAUUCCAUGCUCAUCAAUGCUUAGAGUGAAAUCCAUGUGGUAUGGUGAAAAUGAUAUGGUGAGUGUGGUAAAAAAAGAAAAGAAAAAGGAUACACGGGCGACUUGGUUCGAAACUAGCACAGCUACCGUUCCCCGGCAACGGUGCCAGAAAGCUUGUUGGGUAUUUUAAACGCAAACAGAAAAAUCCGCAAGCGCACGGAUACCGAUGUAGCCUUCACCCGGUAGUAUUCCAGAGUAUCAAUUUUCCACAGAGAACGUGAGUGUACUAAUUAAGAUCCAAGAUCGCCCAAGCAUAACUAUAUAAUUAUUUUUGGUGGGAAGAGAGGAAGUUUCCUGAGAGUUCUCUAAUUGAUCUAAGAAUCAAGAAUUACUUCAAGAUUAUCUAUAUCGGGACAUCAGAGCACUAACCACAGAAAGAGAUGAGAAGGGGGCUAGGAAGGUCUGACUACGGUCCUACAAACACCGAUCCGAACGAGGUGGAAUACGUCGACCGUUAGGGCUGUCACUACCCUAAGGCUACCACAACAAUCCGCAGGAUUGGGUGCAAUUCCAGGUAAUUGCAAGACUAAACACCACGUCUAAUCUAUUAAUUACUACUCUAGCGUUAUAAAGACUAGAGCACUUGAUGCAAGCGGGAAUCCAAUAAAUAACUUGAAUGUAAAUAAAAGUAAUUAAAGAACUCAGGAAUUAUGAGUUGAAGAACCUGGAGAACGAUGAAGAACAAACCAGUUGCUGCAAAAGUACAAUGUUGAGGAAGAUCCGACAGAUCCGGCUCCUCCUCCGCUCUCCUCUUCUCUCUCCCUAUUUUCUAGAUUACAACUAGAACUAACUAGAACUAGAACUAGAGGAACUAGAACUAGAACUAGAGGAACUAGAACUAGAACUAGAUGAACUAGAGGUAGAACUAGAAGAACUAGAGGGAUCCUCUCUACUUGGAUGAAGAAUUGAAACCCUAACUUUGAUUCUGUAGAAGAGGUAUGCCUCCAGGGGCCAGGGGGCCUUGCUUAUAUAGUCUUUUCAGAUGAAACUGGGCCGUUGGAUCAAACCGACAUUAAUCGCACAGUUUUCCUUGAUCCUUUAGGUCGGUGGAGCGUUGUCCCCGAAUUAGACUCUGAUUGAGCACUGUAGCAGGGCGGGCGCCCUGUGCCUGAGCCCUCUCGGCCUCCGCUUCGUUCGUGUGGCUUCUGGAGUCUUCUAGAUGAUAGAAAAUUGCGCGGUAUGUUAAUAUCUCUAUGUAAACCCGAUGUGUGGGCCUUUCUUCCGUAUUUCCUGAUAACCCCCUGCAGAAGUAGACAAACACCAAAACUCAUGGAAUUCUGUCAGAUAAAACCCUAAGUCUAGGUGUUGGUUGCAUUUGGAUCCUUUUCCAUGAUUAGUUGAUGGGUAAAUGUGAGCAUUAAGGACCGUCAACAACACCGACAGGUCGUGCUUCCUCCGAUCUACACCUCCACUCUAUCUCUCUCAAUCUAGUAGAACUAGUUCUACUCUCACAUUGGAUGCUAAGCCCUAUGAGGUGGGAACCCUAAGGAACCUCUCUCUCUGAAUCCUCUCUGGAAAAUAUGCUAAUAAAAUAAUGAGGAUUGAGGAUUGCCUCCUCCAGGGGCCAGGGGGUCUGCUUAUAUAGUUCCCUCAAGUGAAUCUAGGCCGUCGGAUCAAACUGACAUUGAUUGAACGGUUCUCCUUGAUCCUUUAGGUCGGUGGAGCAUAAUCCGCGAGACGGGACCUGAUUGGUCUCUGUAGCAGGGCGAGCGCCCAAGGGGGGAGGGCGGGCGCCCUGCCCCCGGGCCCGUUCGGCCUCCCGUUCGUUCCCGUGGCUUCUGGAGUUUUCUACAUGACAGAAAAUUGCGCAGCACGUUAAUAUCUCUAUGUAAACCCGACGUGUGGGCCUUUCCUCCAUAUUUCCUGAUAACCCCCUUCAGAAAUAGACAAACACCAAAACUCGUGGAAUUCUGUCAGAUAAAACCCUAAGUCUGGGUGUUGGUUGCUUUUGGAUCCUUGUCUUUAUUUAUCUGAUGAUUAAAUUUGGUACUUAAGGACCGUCAACAACUCCCCCAAGCUUACCUCUUGCUCGUCCCUGAGCAAGGAUGGACUCAAUAGUUUCUGCAGUGGUUUCAUGCCUUAAAAGUACACAUGUGUUCAAGCGAGAUCUCAUCUCUGAGUCAGAGUAAACUGUUAAGACUUAAAACUUACUCAUUUUACCUUUCACCAUGGGGCUUGCAACCGUCACUUGUGUCUUGAGUAGUUAAAAGAUAGAACGGUCAAGUCAAGCGCCAUGACUCUUAUUCUUAAUCAGCUAUAGCUCUGGAGUUUUUGUAGAUUUUCAAAUAAAACUCAGAGAUUCCUUGUAUGACUCUCUCAAAUCUCUCUUUUAUGGUAUUUCUAGAUCCUUUACAAGGCAAUAAUGGUAUAUGCCUUCUCUCAAAGUAUAUGGUAUUUUUGGUAUGAGGCAUAGUGAUAUUGCUUUCUCUCUCACCCUACUCUAAUAAGGUUUUGAUAUCUGGAGCUCAUAGGUGGGAGACAGAUAAUACAUACUUACAAGACAUUUAUUGCAUAGUCAAACCAUUGAUCCAGAAGAACAAGUCAAUAAGUCAAAUCAAGAUGUGCAUGUGUGGCGAGUGAAUGGCGUAUAGUGAUGAUGGUGAUAACAAUGGUGAAAGUCCAAUCCUACUUUUGCUCUUUUUGGGGGAUACAUACCUUUCUUGCACUUUGAAGCUUUUUGAGGAGAAUGAGAUGCUCUAUAUUCUUUUUUUCCUUUCUCUCAGGUGGGUAUCUUGUACCCCUAAUUCUACUAUCGGACACUUGUCUAUUUUUACCUCUCGUCUUACUUUUUUCUUUUCUUCGAGGUUCCGGGCACUUGCCCCUUUUAUUUCCUCGUAUUUUUUCUCUUCUUUUUUUCAGAGCACUCACCCUCCUAGAAUAAUGUAGCAAGUGGUAGUAACCAAAAUAUCUCGACCAUUUAUUUCACAGGGAAUAACACGGAUAGGAAAAAGUUUUUGGCUAUUCUCUCCCGGAUUGAGUAGAAUACUUUUAGGUGAAUCUGGAGAUGGAAUUGAGUGGAUGUAUGUGGAUGCAUACUUCCGGAGUAUAACUAGCAUGUAUGAGUGAACGUGCAUGUGAAUCUUGAUUUUAAUCGCAUGACAAGCUCCUAAGGGUCUACACAGCUUGACCAUACUCAACGCUCAUAAGCAGUAAAAAGUAAAUGUAUGGUUCAUAGUCUAAUAAGCAUGUAUAUAUGGCUGUGGUAGGAAUUUAAACUCUCAUCAUACAGGAACUCAUCAUGUGUUAUUUUAAAGAUUUUCAAAGAUAAAAUUCUCCAGUAUUCUAGCAUCUCUAGGAACAGAUAAAUAGCAGCUCAACCUUUCCAUAUCAUAUCCGUUAAGACUUAGACUAUAGAUCAAGUACUCUUCCCACAAGUUCAGAGUUAGAGCAGAUUUAAAUUAUAACAGUUAUGCCUAAACUUGAGACAGAGCUCAAACUUGAAAACUAGGUACAUGGCAGAGCAACUAUUAUCAUAUCCAUGUAAGAGUUUAUCAUUGAAGUUCAGUUUGGCCUAGACACUUUAUUUAUUUAUUUGGCAAACUAAGCAAAGAUAUAUAUAAGCACAAAAUUUUUAUUUAGGUUUUCAUGAUUAUGCAUCUUUUUAUUAUUUGAG